GACGAACCGUGUGAACGUUGUUCGGAAUCACUGGGCUUAAAGGGUGCGUAGGCGGGCGAUCAAGUCAGGGGUGAAAUCCUCCAGCUCAACUGGAGAACUGCCUUUGAUACUGGUCAUCUCGAGUAAGGUAGGGGCGUGCGGAACUGAUGGUGGAGCGGUGAAAUGUGUUGAUAUCAUCAGGAACUCCGGUGGCGAAAGCGGCGCGCUGGACCUUAACUGACGCUGAUGCACGAAAGCUAGGGGAGCGAACGGG
rnacentral:rRNA from 1 species